UCCCCGAUGGUGUAACGGUAGCACCACAGAUUUUGGUUCUGUUAGUCCAGGUUCGAAUCCUGGUCGGGGAU
rnacentral:tRNA from 1 species